UACGUAGAGUGCAAGCGUUAAUCGGAAUUACUGGGCGUAAAGCGUGCGCAGGCGGUUGUGCAAGACAGAUGUGAAAUCCCCGGGCUCAACCUGGGAACUGCAUUUGUGACUGCACGGCUGGAGUGCGGCAGAGGGGGAUGGAAUUCCGCGUGUAGCAGUGAAAUGCGUAGAUAUGCGGAGGAACACCGAUGGCGAAGGCAAUCCCCUGGGCCUGCACUGACGCUCAUGCACGAAAGCGUGGGGAGCAAACAGG
rnacentral:rRNA from 1 species